rnacentral:rRNA from 1 species
UAGUUGCAAGGUAUAGACCCGAAACCCGGUGAUCUAGCCAUGGGCAGGUUGAAGGUUGGGUAACACUAACUGGAGGACCGAACCGACUAAUGUUGAAAAAUUAGCGGAUGACUUGUGGCUGGGGGUGAAAGGCCAAUCAAACCGGGAGAUAGCUGGUUCUCCCCGAAAUCUAUUUAGGUAGAGCCUUGAGCGGACACCUUCGGGGGUAGAGCACUGUUUCGGCUAGGGGUCCAUCCCGGAUUACCAACCCGAUGCAAACUACGAAUACCGAAGAGUGAUACUCAGGAGACACACGGCGGGUGCUAACGUCCGUCGUGGAGAGGGAAACAACCCAGACCGCCAGCUAAGGUCCCAAAGUCUAUAUUAAGUGGGAAACGAAGUGGGAAGGCUUAGACAGCUAGGAUGUUGGCUUAGAAGCAGCCAUCAUUUAAAGAAAGCGUAAUAGCUCACUAGUCGAGUCGGCCUGCGCGGAAGAUGUAACGGGGCUCAAAUAUAGCACCGAAGCUGCGGCAUCAGACGUAAGUCUGUUGGGUAGGGGAGCGUUCUGUAAGCGGAUGAAGGUGAAUCGAGAGGUUUGCUGGACGUAUCAGAAGUGCGAAUGCUGACAUAAGUAACGAUAAAACGGGUGAAAAACCCGUUCGCCGGAAGACCAAGGGUUCCUGUCCAACGUUAAUCGGGGCAGGGUGAGUCGGCCCCUAAGGCGAGGCUGAAAAGCGUAGUCGAUGGGAAACGGGUUAAUAUUCCCGUACUUGGAUAAACUGCGAUGUGGGGACGGAGCAGGUUAGGUUAUCGCACUGUUGGAUAUGUGCGUUUAAGUUGGUAGGUGUGAAGUUUAGGCAAAUCCGGACUUCUUUAACACCGAGAGAUGAUGACGAGGCUCUACGGAGCUGAAGUAACCGAUACCACACUUCCAGGAAAAGCCACUAAGCUUCAGGUUUAUCUAAACCGUACUGAAAACCGACACAGGUGGUCAGGUAGAGAAUACUCAGGCGCUUGAGAGAACUCGGGUGAAGGAACUAGGCAAAAUAGCACCGUAACUUCGGGAGAAGGUGCGCCGGCGUAGAUUGUAGUCCCUCGCGGGCGAAGGUUGAACCGGUCGAAGAUACCAGCUGGCUGCAACUGUUUAUUAAAAACACAGCACUCUGCAAACACGAAAGUGGACGUAUAGGGUGUGAUGCCUGCCCGGUGCUGGAAGGUUAAUUGAUGGUGUAAUCGAAAGAGAAGCUCCUGAUCGAAGCCCCAGUAAACGGCGGCCGUAACUAUAACGGUCCUAAGGUAGCGAAAUUCCUUGUCGGGUAAGUUCCGACCUGCACGAAUGGCAUAAUGAUGGCCAGGCUGUCUCCACCCGAGACUCAGUGAAAUUGAAAUCGCCGUGAAGAUGCGGUGUACCCGCGGCUAGACGGAAAGACCCCGUGAACCUUUACUAUAGCUUGACACUGAACAUUGAAUUUUGAUGUGUAGGAUAGGUGGGAGACUUAGAAGCAGUCACGCCAGUGAUUGUGGAGUCGACCUUGAAAUACCACCCUUUAACGUUUGAUGUUCUAACGAAGAUUACGAAACGUGGUCUCGGACAGUGUCUGGUGGGUAGUUUGACUGGGGCGGUCUCCUCCCAAAGAGUAACGGAGGAGCACGAAGGUUUGCUAAUGACGGUCGGACAUCGUCAGGUUAGUGCAAUGGUAUAAGCAAGCUUAACUGCGAGACAGACAAGUCGAGCAGGUACGAAAGUAGGUCAUAGUGAUCCGGUGGUUCUGAAUGGAAGGGCCAUCGCUCAACGGAUAAAAGGUACUCCGGGGAUAACAGGCUGAUACCGCCCAAGAGUUCAUAUCGACGGCGGUGUUUGGCACCUCGAUGUCGGCUCAUCACAUCCUGGGGCUGAAGUAGGUCCCAAGGGUAUGGCUGUUCGCCAUUUAAAGUGGUACGCGAGCUGGGUUUAGAACGUCGUGAGACAGUUCGGUCCCUAUCUGCCGUGGGCGUUGGAGAAUUGAUUGGGGCUGCUCCUAGUACGAGAGGACCGGAGUGGACGCACCACUGGUGUUCCGGUUGUGUCGCCAGACGCAUUGCCGGGUAGCUAAGUGCGGAAGAGAUAAGUGCUGAAAGCAUCUAAGCACGAAACUUGCCAAGAGAUGAGUUCUCCCUGUUUUUAAGACAGUAAGGGUUGUUUAAGACUAAGACGUAGAUAGGUCUGGUGUGUAAGCGGUGCGAGCCGUUGAGCUAACAGAUACUAAUUGCCCGAGAGGCUUAACUAU